rnacentral:lncRNA from 1 species
AAUGGCGAUCGGUUUUGGGCUCAGAAAAUGGAGUGACCAGUCUGACUGUGGAACUUAUGGGCACAGAAUCAAAAGUUUCUGUGGGAAUUUUAAAUAUAAAACUUGAAAUGUAUCCACCACUCAAUCAAACGUUAUCUCAAGAAGUAGUGAACACACAGCUUGCUUUGGAACGUCAGAAAACUGCAGAGAAAGAGCGAUUAUUUCUUGUAUAUGCUAAGCAGUGGUGGAGAGAAUAUUUGCAAAUUCGACCCUCACACAACUCACGACUGGUUAAGAUUUUUGCACAGGUUUGUAAAUUAUAUUAGAAUAAUUUUAUGCCUGUAUUUGAGAUUUACUGUUAUGUGUGUAAAUUUCAUUUAAUAUUUAUUUGUAAAAUGUAUUCCAAAAAAUAAAAGUGUAUUUGUAAAAUAAAA